CCCCACCUAGCUCAGACUGGCUAGAGCGGCUGACUGUAGAGUGUUCUCGGAGAGAUCCGAUACAGCCGCUGGUAUCAGCAGGUCCCCUGUUCAAAUCAGGGGGUGGGGACCA
rnacentral:tRNA from 1 species